rnacentral:rRNA from 1 species
AACGAACGCUGGCGGCAUGCCUAACACAUGCAAGUCGAACGAGAUCUUCGGGUCUAGUGGCGCACGGGUGCGUAACGCGUGGGAAUCUGCCCUUUGGUUCAGAAUAACAGUUGGAAACGACUGCUAAUACCGGAUGAUGACGAAAGUCCAAAGAUUUAUCGCCAGAGGAUGAGCCCGCGUAGGAUUAGCUAGUUGGUGUGGUAAAGGCGCACCAAGGCGACGAUCCUUAGCUGGUCUGAGAGGAUGAUCAGCCACACUGGGACUGAGACACGGCCCAGACUCCUACGGGAGGCAGCAGUGGGGAAUAUUUGACAAUGGGCGAAAGCCUGAUCCAGCAAUGCCGCGUGAGUGAUGAAGGCCUUAGGGUUGUAAAGCUCUUUUACCCGGGAUGAUAAUGACAGUACCGGGAGAAUAAGCUUCGGCUAACUCCGUGCCAGCCGCCGCCGUAA